rnacentral:rRNA from 1 species
CAACAGCUAGAGUUUGAUCCUGGCUCAGGACGAACGCUGGCGGCAUGCCUAACACAUGCAAGUCGAACGGAGCGGUUCCUUCGGGGACUGCUUAGUGGCGAACGGGUGAGUAACGCGUGAGCAACCUGCCUCGGCGAGGGGGAUAACACUUGGAAACAGGUGCUAAUACCGCAUAAGACCACACUGUUGCAUGACAGAGGGGUCAAAGGAGCAAUCCGCGCUGAGAGGGGCUCGCGUCCCAUUAGGUAGAUGGCGGGAUAACAGCCCACCAUGCCGACGAUGGGUAGCCGAGCUGAGAGGCUGAUCGGCCACACUGGAACUGAGACACGGUCCAGACUCCUACGGGAGGCAGCAGUGGGGAAUAUUGGGCAAUGGGCGAAAGCCUGACCCAGCAAUGCCGCGUGAGGGAAGAAGGUCUUCGGAUUGUAAACCUCUGUCCUUGGUGACGAAGGAAGUGACGGUAGCCAAGGAGGAAGCCCCGGCUAACUACGUGCC